AUUAGCAGGCUGGUCUCAGAGUGAGAGUUAGGAGCUGAGUGGGGAUCUGCCUUCUGUGUGGAACAACUGGGAAAAAAGGACAUCAAAAAGGGUACAUAAAGAAACCUGUGCAAUAUACGUUAGGUGAACAGAACAAAGAUAUAAAUAAACAGGUGGAUGUAGGUGGAAUUCCUCUUCCCAGGACCGGGUAACAUGUAAGCUCCAUGUCUGCACCACAAAUGGGUUAAAGCGAGGCCAGAUUCUUUUAAUUUUCCAGGGGAAAAACCUUUCUAGAUUAAUAGAUAGCUUUUUGUGCUGCGCAACACUCUCAAGAAUGAAAAUUCCUUAUAAAUAAAGGGCAGAGACACACGCUCAGAUUCGGGAAGAUUUAGUUCGCGUGGCAAUAAAUUGCCUCUUCAUUCAGGGCUACUAAUCUAACUGACUCCCGGAAGCUAGAAUCUAAAUCGACGGCGGGAUGGCACUCGGAGCUCUUCAUUUUCCGAAGUCGCCCGAAGUUUCCUUAUGAAGUGUUAAACCACAACAGACUCUAAUACAAAACUUCGGCAAGUAAAAGCAGUUGAGGUCCUAUAGAAUUCAGUGGAAGCUGCCCUGAUCCUAUAAGACCUUUUUUAAAGUAAUUUGGACUGAUUGAUGGUUUUCUGAUUUUUUUCCGCUAGUAAUUCAAAGUUUUAGAGGUUUUCUUAUUUCUAAUUGCAUCCUUCAGUGUUUUUUUUUCAUUUGCACUUUUUAUAUUUCAGAUCUUUUAAAGGAUGGUUUUCCUUUUAGUUAACUUUUCAUGUUAUAGAAUGGCUAACUCUAAGCAACUUUUCAAUUGGCCUCCAUUAUUUAUUUUUCUGCCUUCUUCUGCCUUUUUUAAGCUUU